rnacentral:rRNA from 1 species
CCUACGGGAGGCAGCAGUGAGGAAUAUUGGUCAAUGGGCGCGAGCCUGAACCAGCCAAGUCGCGUGAGGGAAGACGGCCCUACGGGUUGUAAACCUCUUUUGCCGGGGAGCAACGGGCGCCACGUGUGGCGCCACUGAGAGUACCCGGAGAAAAAGCAUCGGCUAACUCCGUGCCAACAGCCGCGGUAAAACGGAGGAUGCGAGGUUUAUCCGGAUUUUUUGGGUUAAAAGGGGGCGUAGGCGGUGCGUAAAGGCAGUGGUCAAGUUGAGGGGCUCAACCCCUUCCCGCCAUUGAAACUGGCGCUCUUGAGUGGAAGAGAAGUAUGCGGAAUGCGUGGUGUAGCGGUGAAAUGCAUAGAUAUCACGCAGAACCCCGAUUGCGAAGGCAGCAUGCCGGCUUCCUACUGACGCUGAAGCACGAAAGCGUGGGGAUCGAACAGGAUUAGAUACCCUUGUAGUC